GGGAUUGCCCUAGUAACGGCGAGUGAAGCGGCAACAGCUCAAAUUUGAAAUCUGGCUUCGGCCCGAGUUGUAAUUUGCAGAGGAUGUUUCUGGCGCGGUGCCUUCCGAGUUCCCUGGAACGGGACGCCACAGAGGGUGAGAGCCCCGUAUGGUAGGACACCAAGCCUGUGUGAAACUCCUUCGACGAGUCGAGUAGUUUGGGAAUGCUGCUCUAAAUGGGAGGUAAAUCUCUUCUAAAGCUAAAUACCGGCCAGAGACCGAUAGCGCACAAGUAGAGUGAUCGAAAGAUGAAAAGCACCUUGAAAAGGGGGUUAAACAGUACGUGAAAUUGUUGAAAGGGAAGCGCUUAUGACCAGACUUGUGCCGGGCGGCUCAUCAGGGGUUCUCCCCUGUGUAUUCCGCCCGGUUCAGGCCAGCAUCGGUUUUCGCUGGGGGAUAAGAACGAUAGGAACGUAGCUCCCUCUCGGGGGAGUGUUAUAGCCUGCCGUACGAUACCCUGGCGGGGACCGAGGUUCGCGCUCCGCAAGGAUGCUGGCGUAAUGGUCAUCAGCGACCCGUCUUGAAACACGGACCAAGGAGUCGUCCAUUAGAGCGAGCGUUUGGGUGUCAAACCCGCACGCGUAAUGAAAGUGAAAUUAGGUGAGAGCUUCGGCGCAUCAUCGACCGAUCCUGAUGUUCUCGGAAGGAUUUGAGUAAGAGUUUUAACGGACGGACCCGAAAGACAGUGAACUAUGCUUGUAUAGGGUGAAGCCAGAGGAAACUCUGGUGGAGGCUCGCAGCGGUUCUGACGUGCAAAUCGAUCGUCAAAUAUGAGCAUGGGGGCGAAAGACUAAUCGAACUGUCUAGUAGCUGGUUACCGCCGAAGUUUCCCUCAGGAUAGCAGUGUUGACCUUCAGUUUUAUGAGGUAAAGCGAAUGAUUAGGGACUCGGGGGCGCUUAUUAGCCUUCAUCCAUUCUCAAACUUUAAAUAUGUAAGAAGCCCUUGUUACUUAAUUGAACGUGGGCAUUCGAAUGUACCAACACUAGUGGGCCAUUUUUGGUAAGCAGAACUGGCGAUGCGGGAUGAACCGAACGCGGGGUUAAGGCGCCAGAGUGUACGCUCAUCAGACACCACAAAAGGCGUUAGUACAUCUUGACAGCAGGACGGUGGCCAUGGAAGUCGGAAUCCGCUAAGGACUGUGUAACAACUCACCUGCCGAAUGUACUAGCCCUGAAAAUGGAUGGCGCUCAAGCGUACCGCCCAUACCCCGCCCUCAGGGUAGAAACGAUGCCCUGAGGAGUAGGCGGCCGUGGGGG
rnacentral:rRNA from 1 species